rnacentral:rRNA from 1 species
GAUGAACGCUGGCGGCGUGCCUAAUACAUGCGAGUCGAGCGAACGGACGAGAAGCUUGCUUCUCUGAUGUUAGCGGCGGACGGGUGAGUAACACGUGGAUAACCUACCUAUAAGACUGGGAUAACUUCGGGAAACCGGAGCUAAUACCGGAUAAUAUUUUGAACCGCAUGGUUCAAAAGUGAAAGACGGUCUUGCUGUCACUUAUAGAUGGAUCCGCGCUGCAUUAGCUAGUUGGUAAGGUAACGGCUUACCAAGGCAACGAUGCAUAGCCGACCUGAGAGGGUGAUCGGCCACACUGGAACUGAGACACGGUCCAGACCCCUACGGGAGGCAGCAAUAGGGAAUCUUCCGCAAUGGGCGAAAGCCUGACGGAGCAACGCCGCGUGAGUGAUGAAGGCCUUCGGAUCGUAAAACUCUGUUAUUAGGGAAGAACAUAUGUGUAAGUAACUGUGCACAUCUUGACGGUACCUAAUCAGAAAGCCACGGCUAACUACGUG